rnacentral:rRNA from 1 species
GGUAGUCCACGCCGUAAACGAUGUCGACUUGGAGGUUGUGCCCUUGAGGCGUGGCUUCCGGAGCUAACGCGUUAAGUCGACCGCCUGGGGAGUACGGCCGCAAGGUUAAAACUCAAAUGAAUUGACGGGGGCCCGCACAAGCGGUGGAGCAUGUGGUUUAAUUCGAUGCAACGCGAAGAACCUUACCUGGUCUUGACAUCCACAGAACUUUCCAGAGAUGGAUUGGUGCCUUCGGGAACUGUGAGACAGGUGCUGCAUGGCUGUCGUCAGCUCGUGUUGUGAAAUGUUGGGUUAAGUCCCGCAACGAGCGCAACCCUUAUCCUUUGUUGCCAGCGGUUAGGCCGGGAACUCAAAGGAGACUGCCAGUGAUAAACUGGAGGAAGGUGGGGAUGACGUCAAGUCAUCAUGGCCCUUACGACCAGGGCUACACACGUGCUACAAUGGCGCAUACAAAGAGAAGCAAUCUCGCGAGAGCUAGCGGACCUCAUAAAGUGCGUCGUAGUCCGGAUUGGAGUCUGCAACUCGACUCCAUGAAGUCGGAAUCGCUAGUAAUCGUGAAUCAGAAUGUCACGGUGAAUACGUUCCCGGGCCUUGUACACACCGCCCGUCACACCAUGGGAGUGGGUUGCAAAAGAAGUAGGUAGCUUAACCUUCGGGAGGGCGCUUACCACUUUGUGAUUCAUGACUGGGGUGAAGUCGUAA